rnacentral:rRNA from 1 species
GAUGAACGCUGGCGGCGUGCCUAAUACAUGCAAGUCGAGCGAACAGACGAGGAGCUUGCUCCUCUGACGUUAGCGGCGGACGGGUGAGUAACACGUGGAUAACCUACCUAUAAGACUGGGAUAACUUCGGGAAACCGGAGCUAAUACCGGAUAAUAUAUUGAACCGCAUGGUUCAAUAGUGAAAGACGGUUUUGCUGUCACUUAUAGAUGGAUCCGCGCCGCAUUAGCUAGUUGGUAAGGUAACGGCUUACCAAGGCGACGAUGCGUAGCCGACCUGAGAGGGUGAUCGGCCACACGGGAACUGAGACACGGGCCAGACUCCUACGGGAGGCAGCAGUAGGGAAUCUUCCGCAAUGGGCGAAAGCCUGACGGAGCAACGCCGCGUGAGUGAUGAAGGUCUUCGGAUCGUAAAACUCUGUUAUUAGGGAAGAACAAAUGUGUAAGUAACUAUGCACGUCUUGACGGUACCUAAUCAGAAAGCCACGGCUAACUACGUG